rnacentral:rRNA from 1 species
CCUACGGGAGGCAGCAGUGAGGAAUAUUGGUCAAUGGGCGGAAGCCUGAACCAGCCAAGUAGCGUGCAGGAUGACGGCCCUACGGGUUGUAAACUGCUUUUAUACGGGAAUAACGCGCCUUACGUGUAGGGCUUUGCAUGUACCGUAUGAAUAAGGACCGGCUAAUUCCGUGCCAGCAGCCGCGGUAAUACGGAAGGUCCGGGCGUUAUCCGGAUUUAUUGGGUUUAAAGGGAGCGUGGGCCGCAUGUCAAGCGUGCUGUGAAAUGUGCGGGCUCAACCCGGGCCUUGCAGCGCGAACUGGCGUACUUGAGUCCGCGGAAAGCAGGCGGAAUUCGGGGUGUAGCGGUGAAAGGCUUAGAUAUGACGAAGAACCCCGAUUGCGAAGGCAGCUUGCUGCAGCGGAACUGACGCUGAUGCUCGAAAGCGCGGGUAUCGAACAGGAUUAGAUACCGAGUAGUC